UACAAUUGUAUUAGAGUUCUUUGAGGACGUAACUAAAUAGACAUUUUAUCAAAAACAUUUAAAAAAUUCAUCAUGAACUUUGGUUUCCCUUAUCUACACUGCUAGAUCUAACCUUCAAAAACUGAUAGAUUAGUCAAAUAAAAUUUCCAUUCAUAAUUCUGAGUUGACUUUGCCCAGUCAGAGGCUGAUUUGCUGCAGCAUUACCAAGUCCUUGUGAUAUGAAAGCAUUUUUCCUAUCACUGUCUGGCUUAUAGCUCACUGCUUCUUUCUUUCCUUCCUCUCUGGAAUAACAAGAUUAAAAUUGUUACCUUCCAGUCUAUGGUGAUCUUCUAAACUGUGGAGGCUUCUGGAACAUCAAAAUUGAUCUGCUCAUCAUCUUUUUAGCAGGCUUUUUAAACCCCUAUCAGGUCAGAAAGGUUUCAUUGCUUCACUACCAACCCUUUAUUAAUGGUCACUUCUUUGUUCCUCACUCCCAGACAGGGGACGUGGGGCCAUAAAAAUAGACACUUCUAUAAUCGUGACCAUGGAUUUCCAAUUUGUUCUGCAAAUAUUGCCGGGUGUGAUUUCUGUAGAACCACUUACCACCAUGGGGCAGAAUGAGGACCUACCUUUAACCAUGUUGCUGUUUUUGGCUUUGUAGCCCAAUCCUCAAAAUAAAGAAAUAAAGAAUAAUAAAUGCUGGCUGUGUCUAUGAAACCCACAUUCCAUAAAAAUGAAUAAAAAACAUAUUGCAAACCAUGCAAAGGCAGGCCAUGAAACAAGUUCCAAAGAUCAAAGACCCUAGAGACCAGGCCUGGGUGUGCAGGGUUCCAUUUUCUUUAAUUAUAUACAGAGUAAUACAUAGAAAAAUAAUACAGAACUGCUGGUGUGGACAGGGGAAAAUCAGUUACCAUCUGACCCAAAACCAAUGAAAAUUAUGCAACCUUUCCUCAGAAUGACCCGGAAUCCUCAGACUGAAGACAGGACCACCUGCUAGUGUAGUUUUGAGAGGGAGUAUUUUAAUGGAUCUUAAUAGGGCAAGACCCUUUCCACCUCACUUCCUGCCAGGAAAAGGCAGGAGGCUCACUUGAAAGAAACUGGAAAGGUACAGCUUCUUUCUGGAGAGAACUGGCAGUUUUCGAGAAAAUGAAGCAGAAUUUCACUCGUCAUUCCUGAGCUACUCUGGGGCAGCCUAUGGUUCAGACACAGCUCCCAAUGUACAGUCAACAACCUGGGACUGGGUAUCAGCUCUGGGGCAGGACGUGCACCAAAUUAGUGGGAGAGAACUCCAGAUAGGACAUUAGAAUAAAAAGAGCCAAGAAAGCACUUAAAUUUUAAGAAAAUGUUAAAAGUUACACAGAUGAAACACGUGAAUGAAAGCUGACCCUUGGGGCACCAAACAACCUGCUGGGAGAAUGGGUCGAGCAGCAUCUGUGGGAGGUAAGGAAUUGUCGACGUUUCAGGUCCAAACCCUGCACCAGUCUUGAUGCAGGGUUUUGACCCGAAACUUCAACAAUUCUUUUCCACCCCAUAGAUGCUGUUCAACCUGUUGAGUUCUUCCAGCAGUGUGUGUUGCUCCAGAUUCCAGCAUCUGCAGUCUCUUGUGUCUCCAGCUACCCUUUGGGAUUGAGCAGAGCCGUUAAUCUGGCUGAAAGGUCAGUGAAUGCAGCUACAGGUCAUGGGUUGGAAGGUCAGUGAAUGUGACUACAGGUCAUGGGUUGGAAGGUCAGUGAAUGUGAAUACAGGUCAUGGGUUGGAAGGUCAGUGAAUGUGACUACAGGUCGUGGGUUGGAAGGUCAGUGAAUGUGACUACAGGUCGUGGGUUGGAAGGUCAGUGAAUGUGACUACAGGUCAUGGGUUGGAAGGUCAGUGAAUGUGACUACAGGUCGUGGGUUGGAAGGUCAGUGAAUGUGACUACAGGUCAUGGGUUGGAAGGUCAGUGAAUGUGACUACAGGUCGUGGGUUGGAAGGUCAGUGAAUGUGACUACAGGUCGUGGGUUGGAAGGUCAGUGAAUGUGACUACAGGUCAUGGGUUGGAAGGUCAGUGAAUGUGACUACAGGUCGUGGGUUGGAAGGUCAGUGAAUGUGACUACAGGUCAUGGGUUGGAAGGUCAGUGAAUGUGACUACAGGUCGUGGGUUGGAAGGUCAGUGAAUGUGACUACAGGUCAUGGGUUGGAAGGUCAGUGAAUGUGACUACACGUCAUGGGUUGGAAGGUCAGUGAAUGUGACUACAGGUCAUGGGUUGGUAAAUGAGCCAUUUCAGUGCUGAGUCAUCCUUCACGUGAAGAUCACAUGGUCGGGGCUCCCCAUUAGGAAAACAGGAGCUACACGUUCGUCAUUCAUUCUUGGAAAACCAUAAGAUGGUAGCCUUGUGCUUGAUAAAUGCCCCAUCUUUGAGGUUAGAUGCAGAAACAAAAGAGAACAUCAGCAAUAUUAAGUGUACAUUGGGCAUGUAACUUGUUCCCAAUCCCAGGAUGUCACUUUGACCCUCACUCUAGCAAACCUCGUGUCAGUCAGUGUGAGGCUUCGAGGGAGGAGGAGUGAGGAAACAUGUUGUGCUGGCACUGGGAGACACACCUGUAGCCGCUCGUUUGUUCAGUUCAGGGUUCAGGAAGCAAGAACUCUUAGAGGAAGGGCACCGUGAGUCACUGGGUACCACCCUUUGACAAGGAGAGGCUGACUGACAGGAAAGGAGAAGAUGGAGUCCCUCAUUAAACGCACAGUCCUUCAAAUCACAGUGAGCAGGCACGGGGUGGGGGGGGGGGUGAGAUUUUAAAAUAUUUCAGGAGAGAAACUCGAGGAGCAUGAUUCUGAACCUUGGGGAGUUGGGGAAGAAUUCUGACAGAGUGAUGAAUGACAUGGCCAGCCCUCAGAGUGGGGCUUUUCCACGCUUUUUUGACUUGAGAUAAUUUGGAUUAACAUUGGGAUUUCUAAAAAAAGAAACCCAAGGCAGCAGCUGUGUCAACCUUGGAACUUUCCCUAGAACUCCCCUUUCAUAUCUGAGAGUUUUCUAUGGUGAUCACAGGUUCCAGCCUCCCUGCCAGCUUUGACUGGUUACCUUGGCUGCACAGGGCUCCCUGGAGAUGGUUUCCAUAGUGACAAUAAUCAAGGAGCCCUGGGCUCCACAGUUCAGUAAAAGAAAAGCAAAAAGCCUCUUAAACCUGAAAGGGUCAGGUGGGUGGAGAGAGGCCUGGGGUCAUGAACACAGACCGACCUCCACUUACAGAAUCAGGAUCAACGCCUGUGUCCACUGAGCAGGUAGCUCUCAGUAUCUACCCUGUACACUGACAAUGCACUUCCUGUAACAACAGUCACUGCUUUUUGUUUGGUAACUGGCUUUACCAUCAACUAGCCAUUGGCAGGGUUUACAGUGCGAGAUCCCACACACACCUGGCCCUGGUCAGUGAUAGUUCAGUAAUGAAGGGUGAAGUGUAGGACAGAGCGUCUUGGUAGAAGAGGAAGUCGUGGUUUUAGGAAAUCCAGUUAUUGGGGACAAAGACAACCGGCACCUGGAAUAACAUCAGAGAAGUCUUCAAGGGAGGCUGCUGUAGACCCCACCUCUUCACUGAUAUGGAACAGCCUCUUGCCUCCAAGGUGGGAGCCCCAAGAACAGAACGAGCCCGAGUCACUUCCCCCUGGGCUGACUCUCUCUGCACUGACCAGACAAUCACAUGGAUGGUAUUGGGAAAUGCAACUUCAACCUGACAUGAAAAGUUAAUGUAGCAUGAUUCUUAAAAUGUCAGUAUGGAAUGUGACAUUUCCUCAUGCGUCACGUGUACCAAGGCAUUCUUAAAUUAGACAGCAUUUCCCCUGUUAGUGCACGCACAGUCCUACAAACUCUUUAUGGGCAGUACUAAUAA